AUUGAACGCUGGCGGCAUGCCUUACACAUGCAAGUCGAACGGUAACAGGUCUUCGGAUGCUGACGAGUGGCGAACGGGUGAGUAAUACAUCGGAACGUGCCUAGUAGUGGGGGAUAACUACUCGAAAGAGUGGCUAAUACCGCAUGAGAUCUACGGAUGAAAGCAGGGGAUCGCAAGACCUUGUGCUACUAGAGCGGCCGAUGGCAGAUUAGGUAGUUGGUGGGAUAAAAGCUUACCAAGCCGACGAUCUGUAGCUGGUCUGAGAGGACGAUGAGCCACACUGGGACUGAGACACAGCCCAGACUCCUACGGGAGGAAGCAGUGGGGAAUUUUGGACAAUGGGCGAAAGCCUGAUUCAGCAAUGCAGCGUGCAGGAUGAAGGCCUUCGGGUUGUAAACUGCUUUUGUACGGAACGAAAAGCCCUGGGUUAAUACCCUGGGGUCAUGACGGUACCGUAAGAAUAAGCACCGGCUAACUACGUGCCAGCCGCCGCCGUAAUAC
rnacentral:rRNA from 1 species